rnacentral:rRNA from 1 species
UACGUAGGGUGCAAGCGUUGUCCGGAAUUAUUGGGCGUAAAGAGCUCGUAGGCGGUUCGUCGCGUCGGCUGUGAAAACCCGGAGCUCAACUCCGGGCCUGCAGUCGAUACGGGCGGACUUGAGUGUUGCAGGGGAGACUGGAAUUCCUGGUGUAGCGGUGAAAUGCGCAGAUAUCAGGAGGAACACCGGUGGCGAAGGCGGGUCUCUGGGCCUUACCUGACGCUGAGGUGCGAAAGCGUGGGGAGCAAACAGG